UACCACGUUUUACAGAAAGAUUCAACUUGCACUCCAAGACUCCAGUACUCAAUUCAGACUAAAGGAAAAGACAGGUGUCAACCAGACAGGAAGAAGUACA